ACUAAUAAUGAAAAAAAGGGCAGCCUGCCUGCCCUCUCGAUUGUUGAUAACCGGCCCGGACAGACACCAUGUUGACUGGUCGUUCCCCAGACAACAUUACCGGGGGCCUCUCACCAAUCUUCAGGGUAGCUUCGCUACCCUUUUUUACCGGAGUUAU
rnacentral:sRNA from 1 species